rnacentral:rRNA from 1 species
UACGUAGGGGGCGAGCGUUGUCCGGAUUUAUUGGGGGUAAAGAGCUCGUCGGCGGCUAAGUAAGUCGGGUGUGAAAACUCCAGGCUCAACCUGGAGACGCCACCCGAUACUGCUUUGGCUAGAGUCCGGUAGGGGAGCAUGGAAUUCCUGGUGUAGCGGUGAAAUGCGCAGAUAUCAGGAGGAACACCAGUGGCGAAGGCGGUGCUCUGGGCCGGAACUGACGCUGAGGAGCGAAAGCGUGGGGAGCAAACAGG